UCAUUUCCUCUUCUCGCAGCUCUCAAUCCCAAUCCACUCUCCGACAAAACCCACCAAGUUAGGCAAUGGAUUAUUGGUUUAUCUGGAGGUGGAGACUAAAUAGCUGUGAUCGGAGCAGGAGGAAGCAUUACCCAUGUAAAGAGUCCUUUAAGCAUUCCUAGCAUUGGUAUUGUUGGGGAGCAAUUCAUUGAGAAGAUUCGAAGUGUUAGAGAGUCGAAAAGAUUCAAGCCUGCCAUCAUCAGAAUUGACAGUCCGAAGGUGAUGCUCUUGCUUCUGAUUUGUAAGUGUUAGCAUACCAACAAAUUUAAUUCCUUAUGUGAUACCUCAAGAAUCUAUUACUAAUGACAUCAUAUCUUACCUUCUCAUAGGAGUAGGUUGGAAUCUUUAUUUUUCAACACUAUCAUUAUUCUCGGUGUUACUUAGUGAAACCAUUAUUUCGAUUGUUAUGGCUGGUAAUUGGAGUCUUUUUGUAAUCAUCUUGACCAACAUGUUGGAUUCCUCCAAUCUACCCACUUAAAUAAGAUUCUUGACCUUUAUCCAACACAGUUUGUUUUAAAGUUUUCAAAAUUUUGUUUUACUUUCAACUUAUGUGAUGAAAUGAUUGAGAUAAUUUUACUUAUGAUUUAGAAUUUGCAUUAUGAUUGUGACAGUUGGUUGGGGGAGUGGGGAUGGUUGGUUCAACAUGAUUGUAGCUUACAUUGAGUUUGCAAAUUUUACCUUUCUUUGGAAGAGUUUUGAUAAGUUCAAAUUUUACCUUUUUAUUUAGUUCAAGAAGCGGAUGUUAGAAUUUAUAACCAUUGCAUUUACUGGUUGAAGAAUAUAGUUUGUAGUAUUUUAGAUACAAUUCUAAACUCUCAUUGUUCCUCUAUUCAUAACUUAGGGAUUUUACCCUUUUUUCAAUGUCCUAUUUUAGAAAGCACAAUAUUUGCAUGGAUUGUAACACUACAAGUGUUAGAGCCUUUCAUAUGUGAUGCUCCAGAACAAAAUCCGUUAAUAUGUUUCCUCAGUUGCAGAUGAGCAAUCAAAGGUCUUUCACAAACUCAAAGAAGUAGACAAUUAGGAAUGCAACUAAUUGAUGGAUGUGUUUCUUUGUUGGGUUUGGUGUGUGAGACAUGUUUAAUUAUGUACUUUGAACUUUAGCAAUUUGAACAUGUUAUGUACAUAUGUUUAAUAUAUUGUACUAA